rnacentral:tRNA from 1 species
UCGUUCGUAGCUCAAUUGGUAGAGUUCCCGGCUUUUAACCGGAAGGUUGUGGGUUCGAGUCCCACCGGGCGAACCA